GACGAACGCUGGCGGCGUGCUUAACACAUGCAAGUCGAACGGAAAGGCCCUGCUUUUGUGGGGUGCUCGAGUGGCGAACGGGUGAGUAACACGUGAGUAACCUGCCCUUGACUUUGGGAUAACUUCAGGAAACUGGGGCUAAUACCGGAUAGGAGCUCCUGCUGCAUGGUGGGGGUUGGAAAGUUUCGGCGGUUGGGGAUGGACUCGCGGCUUAUCAGCUUGUUGGUGGGGUAGUGGCUUACCAAGGCUUUGACGGGUAGCCGGCCUGAGAGGGUGACCGGCCACAUUGGGACUUAGAUACGGCCCGGACUCCUACGGGAGGCAGCAGUGGGGAAUAGUGCACAAUGGGCGGAAGCCUGAUGCAGCAACGCCGCGUGCGGGAUGACGGCCUUCGGGUUGUAAACCGCUGUCGCCUGUGACGAAGCGUGAGGGACGGUAAUGGGUAAAGAAGCACCGGCUAACUACGUG
rnacentral:rRNA from 1 species